rnacentral:rRNA from 1 species
AUGGCACAAGCUACCAUAGGGAGCAUUCAUUUUCCUGCUAUGCAUUAUUUUGCUCUCUUUAUUGGUAGAUGCAUUAACGGUAAAGACGAAGCAUGUCACAUGUGUGUCCCUGAUCUUUGUGUCCUCAAGAGUGUUGUGUUAGGUUAUAAAGGUUAUAACUUGGGGGCAAUAGUUGCAUGUAGGUUGCAGAAUAAUAGUAGAAAGGGAAAUUUAUUUGGAGGAAUUUAUGCAACCCGUGUGGCUAAUUUUCUUAAUAUAGCCCCACAAGAGGUGGAUAUGAUUUUACCUCCUGUUUAUUUUGAUAAAGAAGUUAUGUUCAAUCAUCAAUUUCUUGCGAGGAAUGAACAAUUCCUCCAUUAUCGACUAAUCUAUGACAGAUGCAACGUCGUCCCUGUUACUCUUCCUGCUCCCUACCUUUUUGAUUAUUAG